UUAAAUGUAUUACUUUAUUGAGUGAUUCAGUGGUUUCAAUAUCAUCGGACUACUUUCCAAACGUUUUGAACGCAGAAACAACUGGACAGACACUGGGAGGUUCAUGAAUCAAGAUGUUACGACAGUACAGUAUUUACUUAUAUUGAUGACCUAAGUGGAUAUGCAACCCAAUUAUCCAUGAUGAGAACUCCCGUCAGCUUCCAACAAACAUCAUUAACAGGGAUUCCUUUAACCCUGUUUGGCCCCAAACCAGUUACUGUACUAUACUAUGGUAUUCCCAACCCACGGGCCAAAUAUCCAUCUUGUAAAAAUCAGAACCACACACAACCAUAAAUUGAACUGGUAAUUGGAUUAAUAACACCAAAUGAAAACAAUCUUGCAUCCUGAAUCAAAUAUAGGCUGGUAUACCACCAUGUUAACAAUGCAGGAAUCAUGUGGUGCAACCUUAAAAGCUGCCCAAGUUUUAUGCAGGGAGAACUACACUGCAUAACCUGCUACAACACCAAGAUGAUUCACAGUCGUGACUUGUGUCUACCAGAUACAGUACCCUCUUCUAAGUCUCCAUAUUGUGACAAGAAAAUGGUGGUUGGUGUUCAAGAUCUAUGUACCAGAGGUGAAAGCAGAUGAUCUCAGCGACUGUAAUCUACUGCACUCUCAACCAUCCCACACCUUCAUGACUACCACCUUAUUAAGCACAAAUUUAUUUAUACAAUUAAAAAUUGAGAAAGUAUUUAAAAGUACAUUAAAGUACAGUACAGGAAUCUAACAAUUCCAUAUAUGACCGUUUGAAAAUCUGGUAUCUGCCAGUAGAUCAUCAGCUAUGGAAAUAAACUUUUUUUUUAAUAAGA